rnacentral:rRNA from 1 species
GCCUAGCCCUAAACAUUGGCAACACCCUACAUCUGUUGCCCGCCAGGAAACUACGAGCAUUAGCUUAAAACCCAAAGGACUUGGCGGUGCUUUAGACCCACCUAGAGGAGCCUGUUCUAGAACCGAUAACCCCCGUUCAACCUCACCCUUCCUUGUUAAACCCGCCUAUAUACCACCGUCGUCAGCUUACCCUGUGAAGGCCCCAUAGUAAGCAUAAUUGGCACAGCCCAGAACGUCAGGUCGAGGUGUAGCGUAUGGAGGGGGAAGAAAUGGGCUACAUUCUUUAACAGAAAGAAUACGAAUGAUCGACUGAAAUGUCUUUCCGAAGGAGGAUUUAGCAGUAAGCAAGAAAUAGAGAGUCCUGCUGAAAUUGGCUCUGAAGCGCGC